UACGUAGGGUCCGAGCGUUGUCCGGAAUUAUUGGGCGUAAAGGGCUCGUAGGCGGUUUGUUGCGUCGGGAGUGAAAUCCUCCAGCUUAACUGGGGGCUUGCUUUCGAUACGGGCAGACUUGAGGCAUGCAGGGGAGAAUGGAAUUCCUGGUGUAGCGGUGAAAUGCGCAGAUAUCAGGAGGAACACCGGUGGCGAAGGCGGUUCUCUGGGCAUGUUCUGACGCUGAGGAGCGAAAGUGUGGGGAGCGAACAGG
rnacentral:rRNA from 1 species